AUAAUUUUAUUUUUUCAUUGUGUACUAAGAGUGGACAAGCCAGCUUAACGUUAAGCUGGCUUGUCCACCUGCUUUUUUAAAUAAAUAAAGAGCACAAAAUUCGGGACUGCGGUACAAAAUUAGCACUAAAUGAGCACUAAAUUAUGGCAUGAAAA
rnacentral:lncRNA from 1 species